AGGUACCCGCAGGAGUACGUCCACUUCAUACUCUCCUGGAACACCGACUGGAAGAUCCCGGAUGCGCCCAAGGACGACGAAGAGAUGUCUGAGGAGAUCCGCAGCAUGCACCUCCAUGCCAUCUCGUUCUUCACGGAGCUCCGUGCCAGGAAGCGAGCGCUGCAGGAGUUCGUCAAGGCCCAGGUCGCCGACCGUGGCUAUGCCGAGAUGCCGGAGGAGGCGACCGAACCUCGAAAGAUAUACGACGACGAGGACGGGGAGGAAUUGGUUUAUCUAGGGUUCGGUAUCUAUGAUGGAUAG
rnacentral:rRNA from 1 species